rnacentral:rRNA from 1 species
AACGUACCCUUGGGUGGGGGAUAACGUAGCGAAAGUUACGCUAAUACCGCAUACGAUCUACGGAUGAAAGUGGGGGCUCCGCAAGGACCUCAUGCUCAUGGAGCGGCCGAUAUCUGAUUAGCUAGUUGGUAGGGUAAAAGCCUACCAAGGCAUCGAUCAGUAGCUGGUUUGAGAGAACGACCAGCCACACUGGGACUGAGACACGGCCCAGACUCCUACGGGAGGCAGCAGUGGGGAAUUUUGGACAAUGGGCGAAAGCCUGAUCCAGCAAUGCCGCGUGUGG